GAUGAAGAACGUAGCGAAAUGCGAUAAGUAAUGUGAAUUGCAGAAUUCAGUGAAUCAUCGAAUCUUUGAACGCACAUUGCGCCCGCCAGUAUUCUGGCGGGCAUGCCUGUCCGAGCGUCAUUUCAACCCUCGAACCCCUCCGGGGGGUCGGCGUUGGGGAUCGGCACUUACCUGCCGGCCCCGAAAUACAGUGGCGGUCUCGCCGCAGCCUCUCCUGCGCAGUAGUUUGCACACGCGCACCGGGAGCGCGGCGCGUCCACGGCCGUAAAACAACCCAAACUUCUGAAAUGUUGACCUCGGAUCAGGUAGGAAUACCCGCUGAACUUAAGCAUAUCAAUAAGCGGAGGA
rnacentral:misc_RNA from 1 species